rnacentral:rRNA from 1 species
UACGAGGGGGGCAAGCGUUGUUCGGAAUUAUUGGGCGUAAAGAGCUCGUAGGCGGCCUGUUGCGUCCGCUGUGAAAGCCCGUGGCUUAACUACGGGUCUGCGGUGGAUACGGGCAGGCUAGAGGCUGGUAGGGGCAAGCGGAAUUCCUGGUGUAGCGGUGAAAUGCGCAGAUAUCAGGAGGAACACCGGUGGCGAAGGCGGGUCUCUGGGCAAUAACUGACGCUGAGGAGCGAAAGCGUGGGGAGCAAACAGG